GAUCACUAGCAUUUUCUCUUAGCGUAGCAUUCAAUUACCUUUUCUACCAACAAUGGCAAAGUGCCCUUGGCUGAGAUGGUACCUCAUCGUUGUUUCAGCGGAAGAACACAGGAGGUGGGUGACUUUAUUCCUUCACAUUUAAGGACUCUCACAGGUCUUCUAGGCUCCUCCGGCUACAGAUUCCUAAGGACUGAAGAAAAACAGAAUAAAGGAGAUAGAAGAGGACACGGAAGCAUGAUGAGAGCAGAAAGCUUUUGCUAAAACCAAAGAAGCAACCACAGGACAAUAAACAUACUCCACCGUCCAAAGGUGAAGGCACAGCAGGCUUCACGGAGCUGGUGAAACAGAACACUGAACAGUCUGGAUCUAUUAACAAGUCAGGCCGUAAAGCACCUUCUACAAUGUGUCAUUUAUUUGGAGAGAGUGGGCCUGGCAAAGAAUGAGAAACAGCCGAAGGCAUAGACAAGCCCAGUGCUGCUCCUGUUUUAAAGGCAGUUUAAAAGCUCAAAUGCGGAGAGAAGAGGAGGAAACAGAAAGUUAGAGCGGGACACAUGCUGCUGCUGCUGCUGCUGCUGCCGCUCUGAUGGCAGACAGGCGCUGGCCUCGGAGACAGGAAGGACCAUCCCAGCAUCCCAACCCUCUGCCACUUACCCCCCACCCCGGGUGUGGGAGAGGAGGGGAGCAGGUGUGCCCCAAGCCUGAAUACCCUUGCUUCAUAGAAAUGUCCUGGCCUUUGGACCAACAGCUCCUCUUUGGGUAGAAGUUGGAACACAUCUACCAAACAGACUGAUUUUGUUCUUUAAAGGAACACGUUUGAGCUCCUGAUUUGUUCUACUCUACAAAUAUCCCAAUGGCUUUGGGGCUUUUGGCUAAAGUGAUUCCAUCCCUGAAGUGCAUCUCCUUUUUACAUCUCCACCACCACCAGCACCAUUUUCUCAUCACCACAUCUAGGGGAGUGCCAUGCUAGGUUCUAGGUUUCCUGGAUAAAAGAUGGAUCAGACAAAGUGUCUGUCCCCAAGAAUCUUUCUGCCUAGUAUCACUAUCAUGAUAAAACUGCAUGAGAAAUAUUCCUUGAGUUCAGAAAUGUAUUUCCAAAAAGUUAAAGUAUUCUUCUGGGGCUUCAUGGUUUGCUAUUUGAUUUUCCCACCUUCUGCGGUCAAGUCCCACUUUGAAAUGACAGGGGCAACCACCAGAAAUGACACAGGAUCUAACUUACAAGCUGAAAAAUGACCAUUUCAUUAGGUUGAACCAGAGAUACACACACAACCUGAAUUAUUCCUAAAGAAAGCUUGAGGUGCGCUUUGCCUGGGACCUUUCUGCUCCAUUCCCCUCCAGGCUCUGAAAUACGAUUCCUUGGCAAUACAGCCACUUCAGAUUCAGCCUUUACAUAGUAAUGACAUAGGUUCCAUGCCGCUCCAGAUGUAUAAGAGUACUGGAAUUUUGGCCUCUGGGAUAACCGAGGUGUUGCUAUAAAACAUACAGGUUUACUCUUUAACAGUCAGGAAUGUCUAGAACAACUACAGCACUUCUUUUUGUUAGAAGUAAAAAAAAAAAAUCCACAUUGUUGGAAGGUGCAUAUUAUUAGAAUUUAUUCCUGAUUCUCUUUUAAUAUAAUUUGUUCUAUACACUACUUCCCUUGGCUGCUGUUUUAUAGGAGUAACUAUUGUUCUUCGCUUAAAAGGAAAAUGCCACCACUGAGUGCAGGCAAUGGUUUCAUUUCUUUCUCUGUGUUUGGAGAAGGACGCUGCCACCACAGCUAAGAUACCUGAUGGGUUGCCGUGUAGGGGCUCCCCCAAAUGGCGGCCGGCAUCAAGGUCCUCUGUGAAGUUCACCUGGAACCCACCCUACUCCUGAUAAUGUACACUGAUGAGCCGGGGCAAACGGUAGCUUCCGUCACUCUGGAGGGAUGAAAGCUCGAGUCUGUCGCCUGUGAUAAGAAUGGAGUGACAGAGUGGUUGAAGGUUCUUGUACCAUCAUGAAAAUCCUUAGUCACUGAAGAUGGUCAUCUAUGGAGAAGGUCUAUGGAGAAGGUCUAUGGGCUUACCAACAAACUGGUGUAGGGGAUUAUUUACUCAGAUCAUAAUUUAAAACAAAAACAAGCAGUAAUAUUGUCUUUACACAUGCAGAACCCCUCCACUCUGUAAUCCAGACGUGUCCGGGGUGACUCUAACACACCUAUUUAAUGGCACUGGCUUGGAGCCAAACUGCUCUUGCUCUACUUAAGGUUAGCCAGAGAGAAGGCACAGCUUUCUUGGCAAUGCCUUCACCAUCACCCGCAGCCACUACGGACAUGGUUCACCCCGGGCUGUUCACCUGAGCGGAAGGCCCUCCCUUAGCUCUUUAGCUAAUGGCUGGUUUUAUGGGGGAUGUGCACACUCCGAGUUUUCAUCUGCACUGCAGUCCUAUGCCGCAGGCGAGAAAGUGUCAAAAAACAACAAAGACCAGUCUCUUUCCCUUGAGCACUCCCUUUUGUAAUAUUCCUCUGCUCCCAGACUUAAUAUCUUGCAUUUAUCUUGUGAGCUGAAUCGCUCCGUUUUAACCUAGUUACAUAAAUGAUCAAAGCCUUCCUCUAAUUCCCCUCAUCUUUCCAGGGUCUCUGCAGACAAGCUCUCGAGUCUUUCUGCACUACUUCAGAAAGAGGUUGCAUUGGAAAUUGCUUGUUUACUUUAUUUCCUCAUUCAUUUUAAUGUAAACACAACAUCCAUUUUCUGCCAA